GAUACGUUUCUCGGAUCGCGAGAUCUGAGGAGGAAAGGCGGCGCAAGCUGCCGCUCUUGGAGGGGCUCGCGGCCUAUCAGCUAGUUGGUGAGGUGAUGGCUCACCAAGGCGAUGACGGGUAGCUGGUCUGAGAGGACGACCAGCCACACGGGGACUGAGACACGGCCCCGACUCCUACGGGAGGCAGCAGUGGGGAAUUUUCCGCAAUGGGCGAAAGCCUGACGGAGUGACGCCGCGUGGGGGACGAAGGCCUUCGGGUCGUAAACCCCUGUCAGAGGGAAAGAAGGGUGUCGGCGCGACAACCGCCGACAUCUGACGGUACCUUCAGAGGAAGCCCCGGCCAACUCUGUGCCAGCAGCCGCGGUAAGACAGAGGGGGCAAGCGUUGCUCGGAAUCACUGGGCGUAAAGGGCGCGUAGGCGGGAGGGCAAGUCAGUCGUGAAAUCCUUCGGCUCAACCGAAGAACGUCGGCUGAUACUGCCUUUCUUGAGGGAUGCAGAGGAGACUGGAAUUCCCGGUGUAGCGGUGAAAUGUGUAGAGAUCGGGAGGAACACCGGUGGCGAAGGCGGGUCUCUGGGCAUCUCCUGACGCUGAGGCGCGAAAGCGUGGGGAGCAAACGGGAUUAGAUACCCCGGUAGUCCACGCUGUAAACGAUGACGACUAGGUGUGGGGGGGUUCAGUCCUUUCCGUGCCGCAGCUAACGCAUUAAGUCGUCCGCCUGGGGAGUACGGCCGCAAGGUUGAAACUCAAAGGAAUUGACGGGGGCCCGCACAAGCGGUGGAGCAUGUGGUUCAAUUCGAUGCAGAGCGAAGAACACUUACCUGGGCUUGACAUGGCGGAAGUAGGAACCCGAAAGGGGGACGACUCGUUAAGUCGAGAGCCGUCACAGGUGGUGCAUGGCUGUCGUCAGCUCGUGCCGUGAGGUGUUGGGUUAAGUCCCGCAACGAGCGCAACCCUCACUCUAUGUUGCCAACGGUUCGGCCGGGCACUCUUAGGGAACUGCCGGCGAAGAGCUGGAGGAAGGGGGGGAUGACGUCACGUCCGUAUGCCCUUUAUGCCCAGGGCUACACACAUGCUACAAUGGUCGGUACAGAGGGUAGCCAACCCGCAAGGGGGAGCCAAUCCCAUAGAACCGAUCUCAGUUCGGAUUGUAGGCUGCAACUCGCCUACAUGAAGUCGGAAUCGCUAGUAAGCGCAGAUCAGCAGGCUGCGCUGAAUACGUUCCCGGGCAUUGCACACAC
rnacentral:rRNA from 1 species